GUCUCUAAUGAUGAUGAUUAACUUGAAACUUUCGUUCUUCUGAGAAAUCAACCAUGUGGAACACAUAUGGAGACCUGAACUGAAGAGAC